rnacentral:lncRNA from 1 species
GUGUUUCUAUAAAUAAGCAAAUAGAUGAUUGUACUUUCAAGGUUCUUGAUGAAUAAAAGAUUAAUUCAAUACAGAUAUAGCUGUUAUGAUGAUAUCUAAAGAAAAAUAUCUCAAAUUAUAAUUCAAUUCAAUUUAUACAUUAUCCUCAAUGUAUCACGAUAAAUCAAAUAAACAAAUUAAGAGGUAGGAGGACUUCCUUGAAAGCGACAAUGUUCAUCGUUCUCGAGUGUAUUGAAUCGAUUGUUUAACCCUAACUUGCAAAGGAAAAAUGAAAUUCACUAUUGAAUUAAGAAGAAAGCAAAUAAAAGAAAAAUAAAAGGAACAAGAAUGUCAAAAAAAAAAAUUAAAAAUAAAACAAAAAUAGAAAAUGAAAAAGAAAAAAGAUAAAACAAAAAAUAUGUUUGGGGUUGUUAGGUAUCAAUGGUGGCCGGAGGGGCAGAUCGGGUUGUUGGGGGAUAAGCGGCUACUAGUGGUCGAGGUUCGAAUAGAGGAUGGUGGUGUGGGAUCGGCAAUGGUGGCUGGUGAAUAGGGAAGUAAUAGAGGUGAUCAUGUGCUGGGCCGGGCUCAGAAAAUUUUUUUGGACCGCUUUCUAGGCCCGGGCCCAGCCCAGCCCAGCCCAAAAUAUGGGCCUGGCAUUUUGUCCAGGCUCGGCCUGGAAAAAAAUUCCUAAGCCCAAGCCCGACCCGACCCGGCCCAGCCCAUUUUUUAAUUAAUACAUAUUACAAAUUUUAUAACAGUUUUGAGAAAAUAAAUAUAAUAUAUUUUAAUUAAUACAUAUUACACAAUACCAAACUCAUAUAUUGCACGAGAUAAUAAACUAGUUAUUUAACUAUGCUAGCCUUGUGAUACAAGUUUGAUAAUAUAUAUUGCACGUGUCUGCUGUUUUUCAUAAAUAUAAUAUAUUGCACGAGAUAAUAAACUAGUUAUGUUUAACUCAUAUAUUGCACGUGUCUUUUAAGUAAUAUUAAAAAAAACAUACAUCAUUUAGGAAAAGUCGCUAAGGUUGAUUGUUUCGAAGGAAAGGGUUUGAGAUAGUGAUAGCAACCUGCAUGGGUCUGCUGUUUUUCUGCCUUGCUAAAUAGCUUGUUUCUGCAAUAAAACAAUGCAAAAACAAAAAAUAUGAGAUUAAAUGAAAAAAACUAAGCUUGUGAUCUCAGCCCUGCAAAUUACAUGCUCUAUAAAACAUAAAUCAAUUCUCAUCCAAUAAUAAUUGAAUAACACAAUUUUGCUCUUAAUUGUGCUUAGCUACCCUUAAUCAUCAUAACUAGUAGAAACCGAAGCCUAUUGAAUGCACAUUUUAUAAGCCAAAUGUUUGAUUCGGAAGCAUCAACUAGUUAUGGAGGCUUAAGCAAGCUAUUUGAAGUAAAAGAAUUAGCUUCAAGUGAAUCGCUACAACUUUUUAAUUGGUAUGCUUUUGGUCAUAACUCUGUGCCUGAAAGUUCAAUGGCAUAUGCAAGAAGUUUAGUGAAACACUGUGGUGGGCUUCUGUUAGUUUUUCAAGUUUUGGGCUCUUCAUUAUCUAGCAAAAGUAUGAGUUCUUCGAAAAGUGCAUUGGAGAAAUUGGAAGAAAUCCCUGAUAGCAAAAUUCAAGAGAUUCCAAGAAUAAGCUAUGAUUCUUUGGAAGACGAUAUGACAAAAAUUUAUUCCUCGACAUAGUUUGUUUAUUCAUUGGGAAGGAUAGAGAUUACACGACUACAAUUCUAGAUGGUUGUGAUUUCUACACAACAAUUGGAAUUGAAAAUCUAGUAGGCAUGUAUCUCUUAAUCAUUAAUGAAAAAAACAAGCUAAUGAUGCACCAAAUGAUUAGAGAUAUGGGACGAGAAACAUCAUUUUACUCAACUUUUUUCUUGUGUGCAAAAAAAUCAAAAUCAAAAUCAGAAAACCACCAUAUAUCAACUUAUCAAAAUACCAAUCCUUCCCCAGCAAUUACCAAAAAUCCCAAACCCUAACCCUAACCACCCAAAAAGAUUCCUCCUUUAUCAGGAUAAACGAUCCAAACAACACCAAUUUAUGAAUUACAGGCAGAAAAUCAAAGCACCCUAUUGGUCAUAUAAUAGAGAUCAAUCAGUUCAUCAAUCCAAAAAUAAAAAAUAAAAAAGCAAAAAAAUGAAAAAUAAUUUAACAAAUUAACAUGCGGAAAAUGUGAGGAUUUACAAAUAUAGAGGGGAAAUAAUUCGAGAACUGAAAAUUAUCCGAUCUCUAAAAGGGGGAGUUGAGAUUGCGUGGAAACUCACCAACAAAUUCAUGUUAACCAGUGAGAAAUUUUGACUAAUUUGUGCUAAUUCAAAAUACUAAUUCGCGCUGGAAACUAAAAUUCCAAGUACAGUUUUAGAGAAAAACCUUAUUUCUUUUUCCUUUUCGUUUCUUUCUUGAAUUUUUUUUCUAACCAACCAAACAAAACGAAGCUCAAGGAAAUAGUGGCUAAAUAAGUUUGUUAAAAAAAAACAAAGGAAUUUGAAAAAGGGAAGUACCGCAAUAGUGGAAAGGUAGAAGCACCAUUAAAAGAGAGGGAAAAAAACUGACUAAAUGACUAAAAAAAAGCAGCAAACUGUUAAUUUCAAAGAUAGAAGAAGCACCGCUCUAACUUCUGAUUCUCACACUGUUGUUUGAUGCUUGAUUCUGGAAAUGGGUGGAGGACCGAAGGUGGAUCGGUGGAGGUGGAUUGGUGGAGGUGAAGGUUGAUUUUGGAAUUGGGAAAAAAGGGAGGAGGGCACGGGGUUAGGGAUUUUAAAGAGUGGAAGUGAAGAAAAAGUUAAAUGUAGUGUAUUAAGUAUUUUAAAAAUAAUAAAAAUAUAUAUUUAUUAUAUUCGGGCCGGGCCUUGAGUCCCGACCUAUUUUUUAAACGGGCCUCGUUUUUUGACCAAACCCAUAUUUGUGGCCUAUAUUUUUACCCGAAUCCUCCCAUAUUUCGGGCGGGCCGUCGGGC